UGCGUAGGCGGAAUAUUAAGUCAGUGGUGAAAUCCUGCGGCUCAACCGUAGAACUGCCAUUGAUACUGAUAUUCUUGAAUGUAGUUGAGGUAGGCGGAAUGUGUAAUGUAGCGGUGAAAUGCUUAGAUAUUACACAGAACACCGAUUGCGAAGGCAGCUUACUAAACUAUGAUUGACGCUGAGGCACGAAAGCGUGGGGAGAGAAAAGGAUUAGAUACCCGGGGAGGCC
rnacentral:rRNA from 1 species